GUGGGGAAUCUUCCGCAAUGGACGAAAGUCUGACGGAGCAACGCCGCGUGAACGAUGACGGCCUUCGGGUUGUAAAGUUCUGUUAUACGGGACGAAUGGUGCGACGGCCAAUACCCGUCGUAAGUGACGGUACCGUAAGAGAAAGCCACGGCUAACUACGUGCCAGCAGCCGCGGUAAUACGUAGGUGGCAAGCGUUGUCCGGAAUUAUGGGGCGUAAAGGGCGCGCAGGCGGCGUCGUAAGUCGGUCUUAAAAGUGCGGGGCUUAACCCCGUGAGGGGACCGAAACUGCGAUGCUAGAGUAUCGGAGAGGAAAGCGGAAUUCCUAGUGUAGCGGUGAAAUGCGUAGAUAUUAGGAGGAACACCAGUGGCGAAAGCGGCUUUCUGGACGACAACUGACGCUGAGGCGCGAAAGCCAGGGGAGCAAACGGGAUUAGAAACCCGGGUAGUCC
rnacentral:rRNA from 1 species